rnacentral:rRNA from 1 species
UUGAACGCUGGCGGCAUGCCUUACACAUGCAAGUCGAACGGCAGCACGGGUGCUUGCACCUGGUGGCGAGUGGCGAACGGGUGAGUAAUACAUCGGAACAUGUCCUGUAGUGGGGGAUAGCCCGGCGAAAGCCGGAUUAAUACCGCAUACGAUCUACGGAUGAAAGCGGGGGACCUUCGGGCCUCGCGCUAUAGGGUUGGCCGAUGGCUGAUUAGCUAGUUGGUGGGGUAAAGGCCUACCAAGGCGACGAUCAGUAGCUGGUCUGAGAGGACGACCAGCCACACUGGGACUGAGACACGGCCCAGACUCCUACGGGAGGCAGCAGUGGGGAAUUUUGGACAAUGGGCGAAAGCCUGAUCCAGCAAUGCCGCGUGUGUGAAGAAGGCCUUCGGGUUGUAAAGCACUUUUGUCCGGAAAGAAAUCCUUGGCUCUAAUACAGUCGGGGGAUGACGGUACCGGAAGAAUAAGCACCGGCUAACUACGUGCCAGCAGCCGCGGUAAUACGUAGGGUGCAAGCGUUAAUCGGAAUUACUGGGCGUAAAGCGUGCGCAGGCGGUUUGCUAAGACCGAUGUGAAAUCCCCGGGCUCAACCUGGGAACUGCAUUGGUGACUGGCAGGCUAGAGUAUGGCAGAGGGGGGUAGAAUUCCACGUGUAGCAGUGAAAUGCGUAGAGAUGUGGAGGAAUACCGAUGGCGAAGGCAGCCCCUUGGGCCAAUACUGACGCUCAUGCACGAAAGCGUGGGGAGCAAACAGGAUUAGAUACCCUGGUAGUCCACGCCCUAAACGAUGUCGACUAGUUGUUGGGGAUUCAUUUCCUUAGUAACGUAGCUAACGCGUGAAGUUGACCGCCUGGGGAGUACGGUCGCAAGAUUAAAACUCAAAGGAAUUGACGGGGACCCGCACAAGCGGUGGAUGAUGUGGAUUAAUUCGAUGCAACGCGAAAAACCUUACCUACCCUUGACAUGGUCGGAAUCCUGCUGAGAGGCGGGAGUGCUCGAAAGAGAACCGGCGCACAGGUGCUGCAUCGGCUGUCGUCAGCUCGUGUCGUGAGAUGUUGGGUUAAGUCCCGCAACGAGCGCAACCCUUGUCCUUAGUUGCUACGCAAGAGCACUCUAAGGAGACUGCCGGUGACAAACCGGAGGAAGGUGGGGAUGACGUCAAGUCCUCAUGGCCCUUAUGGGUAGGGCUUCACACGUCAUACAAUGGUCGGAACAGAGGGUUGCCAACCCGCGAGGGGGAGCUAAUCCCAGAAAACCGAUCGUAGUCCGGAUUGCACUCUGCAACUCGAGUGCAUGAAGCUGGAAUCGCUAGUAAUCGCGGAUCAGCAUGCCGCGGUGAAUACGUUCCCGGGUCUUGUACACACCGCCCGUCACACCAUGGGAGUGGGUUUUACCAGAAGUGGCUAGUCUAACCGCAAGGAGGACGGUCACCACGGUAGGAUUCAUGACUGGGGUG